UCCUCUGUGGCGCAAUUGGCUAGCGCGUCUGACUGUUAUCCGCGAUUCUGCGUCUGACAUCAGGAGGUUGGUGGUUCGAGCCCACCCGGAGGAG
rnacentral:tRNA from 1 species